GAUGAACGCUAGCGGCAGGCCUAAUACAUGCAAGUCGUACGGCAACACAGUUGCGAGCAAUCGCAACCGGUGGCGAGUGGCGCACGGGUGAGUAACGCGUAUGUAACCUACCCUUCUCCGGGACAUAACUCCGCGAAAGCGGUGCUAAUAUCCCAUACCAACUCAUCAAGACAUCUUCUUGAGUUGAAAGCAGCAAUGCGGUGAAGGAUGGGCAUGCGUCCCAUUAGCUGGUUGGUGAGGUAAUGGCCCACCAAGGCUACGAUGGGUAGGGGUUCUGAGAGGAAAGCCCCCACACUGGUACUGAGACACGGACCAGACUCCUACGGGAGGCAGCAGUAAGGAAUAUUGGGCAAUGGUCGAAAGACUGACCCAGCCAUGCCGCGUGCAGGAUGAAGGCCCUAUGGGUUGUAAACUGCUUUUAGCCGGGAAUAAACACCCGUUUUAUAACGGGCCCGAAGGUACCGGCUGAAUAAGCAUCGGCUAACUCCGUGCCAGCAGCCG
rnacentral:rRNA from 1 species